rnacentral:tRNA from 2 species
GCGGGUAUCGUAUAUUGGUAUUACCUUGGCCUUCCAAGCCAAUGAGACGAGUUCGAUUCUCGUCACCCGCUCCA